rnacentral:tRNA from 1 species
AACCCUGUAGUAUAUACGACUCAUUAUUACAAUAAACUGCAACUUUAUUAAAGCUUUUAAGCCAGGGUUU